rnacentral:lncRNA from 1 species
GUAGAGAUGGGGGUUUCACCUUUCACCCUGUUGGUCAGGCUGUUCUUGAACUCCUGACCUCAAGUGAUCUUCCUACCUUGGCUUCCCAAAAGGCUGAGAUUACAGGCAUGAGCCACUGCGCCAGGCCUUCUUUCUUUUUCUUUCUUUUUUUCUUUUUCUUUUUUUUUUUUUUUUUUUUUUUGAGACAUCAUUUAGCUGUGCUGAGGGGUUAUUAAAUAGGCAGCUCAGAAAAUUGUUUUUCUUUGUCAGCCAAAUGGGUCCCUGCUGUUGGGGGGUGAGGCCAGCAGUGGAACUCUGAUUUGGUUUUUGCUGAGCUGGUGGUUGAAAGGAAUCCUACUGCAUUGGGGUUAUAAUAGGGAAGAUACAUUUUAGAAUAUGCCCAGUGGAGCCAUCAGAUGGCUGCAUCGUCCCCAGAGAGCCAAGUCAUCGUGGGCCAAGCUCCCAUCCCCAUGUCUGGCCUCAACUGCAGGCCCAGAUGUUGACAGCUGCCUCUGGAGGGUUAUGGGAGCCUGUGAAUGCCAACAUCCCCAUUGCCUGCAGCGGCUGCUCCCAUCCUGGCUUCCUGGUGGGACUUUUCCAUGAAUUGGGGAAUCUGCUUUCUGAUUCCAAGGCCUAUUAAAAUUUCUGAGCAUUGCCCAUUUCUUUUGCUUUAUCUGUAGGACAUGGGCUAUUUUUAAAGAACCUCACAAAAAAAAAAAAAAAAAAAAAAAA